CGAAUAUGGUUACUAUAUAAUUCAUCCCUUUUGACCCCUGUGUAUAAGACGACUCAGGGUUAAACUGUCAACCCUGAUUAGAUCAUCCGAAUCGUGCUCAACUCAAACAGUCUUGUGACUCCUCACUAGGACUACCCUAGCCAAGAUUUUGCUAAAUUGAAAUAUGACUGUACACAGCUCCUAAACUGGAGUGGUCAAUCCCAUCUUGACACACGCACCGACAAGUCAAGUACUUGACUACACCCAGCAGUCUUCCAUCACUGAAUUAGAAAUUCAGGUAGUCCAGUGCCUAAGUGCAGUGAGUUGCUUGCAAGUCACCGUGGUGA
rnacentral:lncRNA from 1 species